UACGUAGGUGGCGAGCGUUGUCCGGAUUUACUGGGCGUAAAGAGCGCGCAGGCGGUCGUACAAGUCGCGUGUGAAAGCCCCCGGCUCAACUGGGGAGGGUCACGCGAUACUGUUCGACUCGAAGGCAGGAGAGGGAAGUGGAAUUCCCGGUGUAGUGGUGAAAUGCGUAGAUAUCGGGAGGAACACCAGUGGCGAAGGCGACUUCCUGGCCUGUUCUUGACGCUGAGGCGCGAAAGCUAGGGUAGCAAACAGG
rnacentral:rRNA from 1 species